ACAAGGAGAGAAGGCUGUGUUAUGACAGGGGCAAAGAUUGAGAUGCUGCUUCUGUAAGAUAAGGGGUACCAGGGAUUUCCAGUAACCACCCAGAGUUAGGAAGAGGAAAAGUAAUGGGGGAAUGUGUUCACCUACCCACCUGUAACAACUAAAAAGAACCCAGACAAAAUAUAGUAAAUAAUGGCAUUCAAGACAUUGGACACCAGGCAACAAAGGACAGUGAUCCCUGAGGGAUGGGAAAAAAAGAGAAGGAUUUGCUGCAUUCAGAAUUUGCUACCUGGGCUUCUCAUCCAAUUUAAAGUUCUUCACAGCAAGUUUACAAGACAGGCAGAGCAGAAAUCAUCAUACUUACUUGA